rnacentral:lncRNA from 1 species
GUUGGAAUAUAUGAGAUUCCAUAUAGCCCUAUAUAUAAGAUAUAAUAGGGCUAAAACUUUUAACCCAGUUAUAAUAUUUUGAACGGCAGUUAGGACCAGUAGAUUAAGAGAAUUAAGGCCAUGUUUGUUUCAACGUAAGUAGACUUGGGGCGGAAGUAGAUUUUGGGUUGAAGUGAAGUUUAGGUGAAAAUUAAUUCACUUCCGCUAUUUGUUUCUAACUAUGGAAGUGCAGUUCUGUGAGUACUGUUGUUUGUUUGGUAGGAAGUAGAUGACGUAAAAAGUGUAGAUCUCCACCCCCGGUAUACUUACCUCCGAAGUGAUAUUAUUGUUUAUUUUAUAACUUAGUGAAUAAUAAAUUAUAAUAAAUAAAAAUUAAUAUAAUUAUAUAUGUAUAUAAUUAUAUAUAUGUAUAAUUAUAAAAUAAAAUUUUAAAAAUUUAUAUUAUUUGUUUGCAUAUAAAUUAUAAUAAUGCAACAAAUAAAAUUCUAAAGUUAAAAAAUUAUUAACAUUUAACAAAUUCAUUUUNCGGUAUACUUACCUCCGAAGUAAUAUUAUUGUCUAUUUUGUAACUUAGUGAAUAAU